rnacentral:rRNA from 1 species
UGCUUAUUGAAAAAAAUAAUAAGUAAACCCUGCCCAAUGAAAAUUAAAUGGCCGCGGUAUCCUAACCGUGCUAAGGUAGCAUAAUCACUUGUCUAUUAAUUAUAGACUAGAAUGAACGGGUAAACGAAAUCUAACCUAUUAAAUUACAUAUCAUAAAAAUUAACCUAUAAGUGAAGAUGCUUAUAUAAAAUUGAAGGACAAGAAGACCCUAGAGAGCUUUAAUUUUCAGAUAUAAUAAUAUCUAUAAGUUUUGGUUGGGGCGACCAAGGAUAAAUCAUCCAUAUAAAAAAAGACUCAUAUGUCUAUAUAUUGAGCUUUAAUAAAACUAUCAAUAAAGUUACCUUAGGGAUAACAGGCUAAUCUUAUUUAAGAGUUCCUAUCUAAAAUAAGGAUUGGCACCUCGAUGUUGGCUUAGAUUACCUUUAUAGUGCAGUAAUUAUAAUAGUGGGUUUGUUCAACCUUUAAAAAUCU